rnacentral:lncRNA from 1 species
UUAAAACCCUAAUGCUGGCUGAAAUGGAAAAUCCAGUUUAGGGUUUUAAACCCUAAUGCUGAUUGCAUGAAAAAGCUCAGUUUAGGGUUUAAAACCCUAAUGCUGGCUGAAUGGAAAAAGUUCAGUUUAGGGUUUAAAACCCUAAUGCUGACUAAAAGGAAAAUUCAGUUUAGGGUUUAAAACCCUAAUGCUGAUUGCAUGAAAAAGUUCAGUUUAGGGUUUAAAACCCUAAUGCUGACUAAAGGAAAAAUUCAGUUUAAGGUUUAAAACCCUAAUGCUGACUGCAUAGGAAAAGCUCAGUUUAGGGUUUAAAAUCCCUAAUGCUGGCUGAAUGGAAAAAGUUCAGUUUAGGGUUUAAAACCCUAAUGCUGACUAAAGGAAAAAUUCAGUUUAGGGUUUAAAAUCCUAAUGCUGACUGGCUGGGGACAAAGUUCGAGAAUACUAAGCGACCUCUUUUUUUGAAUUUUCUUGCUUUAGUAGAAGAUAAAAGGGAGUUUCGUGGAAACUUACCUUUCGAGUGAAUUCCUUAUUGCCAAAAUAUUUCUUGUACCCAUGUACCUUCUUCUUUGGGCGACACCUGCUUCUUGCACGGUUGUCUUGGAUUACACCUGUUUCAACUUUUUAGACAAAGAACAAUUGUUAGUUCGGAAAUGACGGUCGGUUUGGUGACCUUGAUCGUUCCCGGUUGCUUUGUUGCGUCUUCAUUUCUGUUGCGAAGUCCCGCCAUUGAUUUGAUUCAUAUGUCGAAACCCUUUAGACC